rnacentral:misc_RNA from 1 species
CUUAGUCUUCCACAGCCCAAAUGAGAAGAGGAGCAUCCAUUCUCAUCAUCAGAAUCAAGAUCUGCAUUAUUCUCUCGAAUCCGCUUCAACGCCGCCGCACUCGCUCCCAAAAAUCUACUCGAAAUUUCCUCUUCGCUGCUCGAAGAACUCGCCACCGGAGGUGAAGGCGAGGUAACUGACCAUGGCACCACCUGAUUCUCCCCAUCCUCCUCCUCCAACUCCUCCUCCUCCUCAUCAUCAUCAUCCUCAUCAUCACUAUCAUCUAAAAAUUCAUCUU